UACGUAGGGUGCGAGCGUUGUCCGGAAUUAUUGGGCGUAAAGGGCUCGUAGGCGGCCUGUCGCGUCGGGAGUGAAAGCCCACUGCUUAACGGUGGGUCUGCUUCCGGUACGGGCGGGCUGGAGUAUGGCAGGGGAGACUGGAAUUCCUGGUGUAGCGGUGGAAUGCGCAGAUAUCAGGAGGAACACCGGUGGCGAAGGCGGGUCUCUGGGCCAUUACUGACGCUGAGGAGCGAAAGCGUGGGGAGCGAACAGG
rnacentral:rRNA from 1 species